rnacentral:guide_RNA from 1 species
AUAAAUAACAAUGUGUGCUCUCGUAAGUGAUUUUAUAGAGAUAAU